CCAUGUGCAAACAAACCACCGCUGAUGGAGACCCCAGCAGCAAAAUGAACAAACAGCACCAAUUCUGCGUCCUGUUCCGUAUGAAGGUCACUGAUUUCCACCAAAGACUGCAGGCCUGGCGUAUUUCUGUCAGAUUUCUUAUAUGACAUAUUUUUCUCAUUUGGAUGUAUCUUGGGCAAUGACAAAGCAUCAUAUACUAGAAGCUUGCACAGGAAAGAAUAAGAGACUAGUGCAGCACUAGACAGUGUCAACUAAAAAGGAAUCCUGAACUACUCUGCAGUCAAGAUGGCUGGGUGGUCACAGACCUUCACUGAACUGACAGCUGCCACUGCAUGUAGAAACUGAUGGGGAUUCCUUCUCCCUUCAGUUGUUUCAACAGCAUUAAAAAGGCAUAAACAAGGAGUGAUUGAGGAGAAGGCCAGAGAUUCCACAACACAGCAAGGAGAGUACAGCCAGAAAACCAUCUCAGUGUAUUCUUCUGUGCAGAAAGGCACAAUGCCAGUUAUUCCACAGUGCCAGAACAACUUUUCUGAGGAAAUGCAUAUUCUGAAGUAUCCAUGGUGACUAUCUGCCCAUAGAAUAUUGAAAGAGACCUUUGAACAAGGAAACUCCUGCUGUCAUCAUCUGCCUGAAAUGUGACGGAAGGAGCCAGUGCUUGAAGGCAGAGUUAGGAGUCUGUUAGGAAUUACAAGCCGGGAGUCCCUUGUGUUACAGAACAAACCAGCUUCUGCACAGGUAGGUUUUUUUGGUUGAGAUGUUGUUGAACACCAUGUUGAGAGGAACUCCAUCUAGACUGAUGGAAUGAAGAAGAGAGACACACUUCCUGCCAGCUCAUGAUGGAACAGAUAAUUUGGCUUCUUAAGUAUUAAUAACUUUUUAUUAAAAGGCUGAUUCCGGAGACAAGAAACAGGAAUAUAAAGAUUUUGAGUAAAUAAUCUUAAAAUUACUUCUAUUAAGUCAUCUAUGCAAGGUUCUUCCAGAAAUGCAAUACCACUAUGCUUAAAAAAUGUAGUAAAUAAACACUUAAAAACUGAAUAACUGUAACUCUAUGUAAUGACUUUGUGUUAAUAUUUAACACAGUUAAUAAUUUCACACAUCUGUGAAAGUCUAAUUUAGAUUAGCUUUGUGUCCAUAUUACAGCACAAGAUUUGAAUAAAUGUAAUAUUUUAUUGAUCACAAACAUAAUACUUCAGCAAUUAAAAUGCAUGAUGAUUCAUAUGAACAAAGUGAAAAUAAAGAACAACCAAAAAUUAACUUCACAUUUUUUUUCCAUUUCUUUCUUAGUGUAAGCAAUAAAUAGAAUGCUAUCGCUUCUAUUAAUCUUAUUUACAUAGUACAAUACUUGAACGUUGCCUGGUUUCCAGCCCAAAUGUUUCAUGACAUGAAAACGAGUACAUGUUGCAGCAUUUCUACAGCCAAAUGCUGUAGUAGAUCAUCACAAUGAAAAAAAAAUGCAUAGCAUACAUGCUAACAUUAAAAAAAACAAACAACUGAGGGGACCCUGUAAUGGAGCAUUUUAUUAAUUGAAAACAGUAGCAUUGAAAAUAAACACUCCCUCUCAUAGAAGACCAACAUGCUGGUAUUACAGAUACCAAAUAUAAGACAAGUAUUUCUGUAGCUCCUGCAGAUCAAUACAAUAAAUCCUCACUAAAUAAGAAAAAAAAA